CUGCUGUCCUGCCAGGCUCGCCGAGGCAGAUCAUAGGCAUGGAGGAACUUCUGCCAGGGAAGCUCUGGAGAACAAGAUACAGGGCUGAAAACAAAGACAUCCAAACCUUGAGCCGUUUAGAAGAGGAAGAUGCCAAAAUCUGUGCCAGAGGUUUGACUGCUGGGAUACUCAUGGCUUCAGGUUGGUUUCACGAGGCUUGGUCUGUUGGGAGGAUUUUCUGAGAUGCAUCUGAAUAGCUCAUAGCUGGAUGGCUCCAGCUCUGACCCCCUGACCUGAGUGAGGUUUG
rnacentral:lncRNA from 1 species